CGACGGCGGCUGCGGCGGCAGCCCAGAUCUCUCCUCCAAGCUGAGCGAGUACGCCCGGUAGAGGCGGCACAGAUCCCUCUUCCAUGUUGUUCCAACUCUUGACGGCUCCCUACCAUUGUGUGGGUGGCGUCCCGGUUUGAGGCGGACCAGAUCGGAGCUCGUCGGCAAUCUCUGCCCCGCUGCUCAUCGCAGCCUCCCUUCUGAAGCUCCGGCGGCGGUGCCUUCGUCGCCUCUCUCGCGCGCUCUCUCUCUCUCAUGCUCCAGUAUUAGCUCGCAUCCGGCAUCCUCCUCCCUCACGUCACGGCAAGCCGGUGGUGGUCUCCUCGGCUCCUUCCCAACCGGCCCGUGCGACGAGUGAAAAAAUAUCUCAUCUGAGGAUUCAGUAAUGGAGGGGAGCAGCACUAUUUCGCCAUCAGGAGAGCCCAUAGUUGCAAUGGCCACAACAUAUGCACCAGCACUAUCAGCCAUGGAAUCGGUCAAUAGUGCUCAAAAUCAAGAUUUCAGCAAUGGUACCUUGUUUG